CCUACGGGUGGCAGCAGUGAGGAAUAUUGGUCAAUGGCCGGAAGGCUGAACCAGCCAUGCCGCGUGAAGGUCAGUGCCCUAUGGGCGUUAAACUUCUUUUGUGCGGGAGCAAUAAUGGUCACGUGUGGCCAGACGAGAGUACCGUACGAAUAAGCAUCGGCUAACUCCGUGCCAGCAGCCGCGGUAAUACGGGGGAUGCAAGCGUUAUCCGGAUUUAUUGGGUUUAAAGGGUGCGUAGGCUGUGAGGUAAGUCAGCGGUGAAAUGCCCCCGCUCAACGGGGUGAAGUGCCAUUGAUACUGCCUGGCUGGAAUGCGGAUGCCGUGGGAGGAAUGUGUGGUGUAGCGGUGAAAUGAAUAGAUAUCACACAGAACACCGAUUGCGAAGGCAUCUCACGAAUCCGCGAUUGACGCUGAUGCACGAAAGCGUGGGUAUCAAACAGGAUUAGAUACCCUAGUAGUC
rnacentral:rRNA from 1 species